CCUCACAAUCAAGAGGCACUGGUUGGUAUUCACAAAACCCUGCUUCAAGAAGAGCUUGCGGUUUUGGACAAGCACGCUUUCAACAGCCCCUUAGUGCACCAACACAAUAUGGCAGUGGCGGAGCAACGCAUAACUGGGCUGAACGCGCAGCUGAUGGAUCUGUGCAACUCAGUUGUCUUGGAGGUCCGCGCCCAGACCCUCCGUCAGCGUCACGACGAUGAACUCGAUGCCGAGAUUAAUCGUCUCACAAAACUUCUACAUGAUCGCAACAUCGAUUUCAAACUACCACUUUAGUUUAGAACUGCCAUAGAUAGAUAGAUGAUGAAAUAUUCAUCAGAUUCAUAAUGAAAUGAUGCGUUAUUUGUUUGUUUUUCGACUAAGUUUUAAGUAACGGGCGCAUAUUUUUAUGAAGACUGCUCUACUAUUGAGCUAUGCAGACUGCAGACUGCUGUUACAUUUCUUGUCUGAACUGCAACAAUGAUCAAAUGACAAAGUAGUUUUAAGUAACGGGCGCAUAUAUUUAAGGUAUCAGCGCGACUGCAUCGGAUUACGUAUUCUUAUGAAUUGCCUAAUCUUUUUGUUUUCGUUAUUACAGCGUUUAUUUUAUUUUCCGUUAUUUAUUAUGUUUUUGGUUAUUUUAGUGAAAUUUUUCCAUUUAUUUUAGCGUAAGCCUGAUUUAAGAAGUUUUUCGAUACCUCUGUAGAAAUGUCAGAGAUCAUAUG
rnacentral:lncRNA from 1 species